ensembl:lncRNA
GUUCUUUUAGACUUCCAGUAUGAUAAAUUGAAAGGCGCUAUUAUCUGUCUGUUGUGAAGAGGAACUGUUUGGGCUUUGAUAAGAUAUCACUACUCCCAGAGUUGGAUGUUUUCCCUGAAAACAUUGGCAGUGUGGCUCCUCCUAAGCCUGUGUCUCAAUCCCGAACUGAAGGGACCAUCUUCCUGAGGCAGCUAUUCAAAACUGCUGCCAGCUCGCUUGCUUCUACUGAAUUGGCCAGUUACAGACAGACUGGUCAGGAGGUCACAGUAAAGGAAGCCAUUUGACUUCACUGUGGUAGUUUUGGAUUGUGUAGAGAAUGGUUAGGACUGUGGGUUUGCGAAUCCUAAAGACCUGCUUUCAAGCUUUGGUCCUGCUAACUAGCUGUUUGAGUUCAGCUGCCAAAGGUCAUCUGACAUAAUAGCUGAUGAAUUCAAGCCCAGUGGAUUUCAUUUGCAAUUUUCAAUUUACUGAGGCCUCCAAACCCCACGGUGAUAAAAGCUUCCCCUAUCGUGGCCUGUCACAAACAUCAAGAAACUGCACAAACCCACAAGAAAGAAAAAAGAGAAAGCUGUGCAUCCUCGCAGGUACAGAUAAGGAGAACAGGAAGAAAUGGUAUCACGCAGGAAGGUAUGGAGCAGCUUGUGUGGCUAGUUCUCCAAAUGCCAGUUGAAAGGAAAAGACUAUGAAGAACAAUCAAAUAACUUCCACAGAAUAACGUCAUGUUUCUUUGGGGCUUUUGUGUGAAAAUUGCGUUCUAAUCUCUUAUUUGACAUGCCCCUAAACAAAAAUAUGAGUGUAAAUAUGCAAAUAAACAAAUGAAUAAAUAAUCUUUGCUUAUUUGAUCAUUGGAAAGAAAGCACACUCUGUGUGUUGUAUUUAGCAUAGUUUUGAUUUACAAAAUGCGUGCUCCUAAAGGAUCUUUUAUCAUGGAAGUGUCAGUCAGCACUAAGAAAUCAUUUGUUUUCUCGUAGAGAAAUGGUAGAUCCUUUGAUUGAUUUGCAAGGGCAGUCAAAGGACUGACAUAGCAACUACUUGUAAGUGGAUCUAGACACAGUGUAUAUUGAAGAUGUAUUAGCAAGGGAAGAAAGCCAUUUUCCCCUCCUGUCAAGCUAUUUACAGUGAACUUUGGCAGGAUCUGGGACUGAAUCUUGCUCCCAGCAAUUGUUCAAAUUGAGGAGACUAUAUGCGUGUUCCUUGCAGAAUGGUAAGUUUAAAAGUUGAGCAGCUCAUCUUCAUCCUAUCCUACACAACUCAUACGAUAGCUUACAAAGAGAAAGCAAAGAGAUGACCACUGUUUGAGGUACAACUGCUUGGAGAAUUCCAUUUCAGACAUGGAUGUCUGGAUCCCAUUUCUACCAAAUAGAUUCAGAAAGGCUUAUGAAAUUGGUCUAAUGAGGCAAGAGAACUUGGCAGAGGGCAUCUAACAACAUGCCUCAUGACGAAAUUUCUCAUGCCAGUUGACAAGAAAACCCAAGAAUGACAUCAACAAGACCAGGAUAUUAACUCCAUUUGUGUAUUGGUAACUGUGAGACACGCACAGGUUGGAAAGGAAAAGAGACUAAUUCCUGGUUGAACUGAUGUGAUUGUGAGAGGCUGCCUACUGUAGAAUGAUAACUUAAACUGUCACAGCAAAAAGCAAAAAUGUGGGCUAUUCAUCAUAAUUGAAUCCUUGGUUCUUUGAAAUUAAACUAUUUCUUAAGAUUUUCUAUUAGCAAAAAAUUUAAUGAUCUUUCAAUUCUUCAAAGUUUUAAAAUAGAAACUGUUUCCUCAAGUAGCUAAAAUGGCAGGAAUUAACAUUUUGAAAUAAGGCAUAAAAAAGUUUAUUCUAAGAUGCAGAAAAUACAGAAGGUAGCCAUAUUUUAGCAUUUUAUUGUUUUUUCUCCUACACAAAAUUGUCAGGAUGUCACUUUUCAAAAGUUGCUUCCUCUUUUCCCCCUUUUGUAGUUUCUAUAGGUUCAAAGAGAACUCUCUCCAUAAUUUGCAGUUUCUAUGGGUUCUCUUUGGAUUGUUAGCAUAAUACAGAGACCCUGGUGAUGGUAAAAGAUUGCUUAAUGGAGUCUUAAUUUAAUCAGUCCUCUAAAAAAAUACGUAUAACUUGGUGAGGGUUUUUCAUUAUCUCUGUUCUUCAAUGGCAGUGAUACAAGGCAAGCUGUACCAAUGGGUCUGUAGUUACAUAGCAGAAAGGUUAAUCUCUUUUAUGUUCCUUCUAUUAGAAAGGCAGUUCUCGAAUCUUCAGGGCAGAGUCCUAAAUUGGUCUUGUAGACUGGUUCACAGAGACUGUUCCCUCUUAUGCCCUACGGCUAAUUACAAUCAGUCAGGCCAGAGCAUUCACUGUCGUUUGAAUGAUGCGAUAGACUAUUUCCCGUUUCAUUAAUUAAUUUUUUUCAUCCCUUCACUUAGUAUUUAUUUAGUAUCUACUAAAUGCAGGACAACUAUGAAUGAGACUUUCCUUACUUUCAAGCAGUUUACAGAAGAGUGAAAUACAGAAUGUUUUACAUCUGCUCUCCCCACCUCCCAGAAUUGUUUUUCAUAUAGCCAUAAAAAGUUUAAAAUAAUGAAAAGUGUAUCUUGAGAAUUUGAGCAAUGGAGUGACACCAUUGACAUCUGGAUAUCUUAUUUCGGGUGAAAGCUGUGUUUCCCAUUUUUUUUGGUAAUACGUGCAUCAUCAUAAUAUUUUUGCCAAGUCUACGUACAAUCUGUACUUAUUUACUCAAUACUUUCCUUUGACAAUUCAGCUUUUUAAAAUUAACUAAGGUCAAUUAGAAAGAGAUAAUUAUCUAUAAUACCACAAAUGGAAAGCCUGUAUCAUGAGCUGUGAAUAAAUAAUCAUAAAUAUAAAUGCAUAACGAUUAUUGUAUUAGUCUGUGCACCAUCUACAUAAUUUCAUAUUUCACUACUGGUACGUGUUUGGAAAAUAC